UGAGGAAUAUUGGUCAAUGGGCGCAAGCCUGAACCAGCCAUCCCGCGUGCAGGAAGAAGGCGCUAUGCGUCGUAAACUGCUUUUCCAGGGGAAGAAAACCCUCGACGUGUCGAGGCUUGCCGGUACCUUGGGAAUAAGCAUCGGCUAACUCCGUGCCAGCAGCCGCGGUAAUACGGAGGAUGCGAGCGUUAUCCGGAUUUAUUGGGUUUAAAGGGUGCGUAGGCGGAUUAAUAAGUCAGCGGUGAAAACCUUCAGCUUAACUGGAGAAUUGCCAUUGAUACUGUUAGUCUUGAGUACGGUCAAGGUAGGCGGAAUGUGUAAUGUAGCGGUGAAAUGCUUAGAUAUUACACAGAACACCGAUUGCGAAGGCAGCUUACUGGACCAUUACUGACGCUGAGGCACGAAAGCGUGGGGAGCGAACA
rnacentral:rRNA from 1 species